rnacentral:misc_RNA from 1 species
CAGAGCCAAUUGGGAGGCCAUCAAAGCUGUUAGAGACGUUGUUAGGAUUCCUGUCCUUGCUAAUGGUGAUAUACGGCACAUGGAUGAUGUACAUAACUGCUUGGAAAAGACUGGUGCCGAUGGGGUACUUUCAGCGGAAUCUCUUCUUGAAAAUCCAGCUCUAUUUGCAGGAUAUCGAACUGCUCAAUGGGGAUUGAGCACUGCAGGAAUCAAAGAAGAUGGUAAGCUAGACCAAGCUCAGUUAGUCGUAGAUUAUUUGAAGUUGUGUGAGAGACAUCCAGUGCCAUGGAGAAUGAUCCGUUCUCAUGUGCACAAGAUGCUGGGAGAGUGGUUUAGGAUCGAGCCAAGCGUUAGAGAGGAUUUCAACCAGCAAUCCCAACUCACCUUCGAAUUCCUUUAUGGCUUGGUAAAUCGAUUAAGGGAACUUGGAGUGAGUGUACCACUUUAUGUGAAGGAGACUCAAGAGGAAGCUGCAUCUCCAAAUGGAGACGGG